GAUGAACGCUGACAGAAUGCUUAACACAUGCAAGUCAACUGUGGCGGACGGGUGAGUAACGCGUAAAGAACUUGCCUCACAGCUAGGUACAACAUUUGGAAACGAAUGCUAAUACCUGAUACUGUGAGAGAGCUUUGAGUCCCAUUAGCUAGUUGGAGAGGUAACUGCUCACAAAGGCGAGGAUGGGUAGCCGGCCUGAGAGGGUGAUCGGCCACAAGGGGACUGAGACACGGCGCUUACUGCGACGGGAGGCAGCAGUGGGGAAUAUAGGAAAAUGGACCAAAGUCUGAUACAGCAAUUCUGUGUGCAAGAUGAAGUUUUUGGAAUGUAAAGUGCUUUCAGUUGGGAAGCGGUACCAACAGAAGAAGUGACGGCUAAAUACGUGCCAGCAGCCGCGGUAAUAC
rnacentral:rRNA from 1 species